ACGGAAGGCAGCAGUGAGGAAUAUUGGUCAAUGGUCGGAAGACUGAACCAGCCAAGUAGCGUGAAGGAUGACUGCCCUAUGGGUUGUAAACUUCUUUUAUGCGGGAAUAAAAAGGAUUACGUGUAGUCUGUUGCAUGUACCGCAUGAAUAAGGAUCGGCUAAUUCCGUGCCAGCAGCCGCGGUAAUACGGAAGAUCCGAGCGUUAUCCGGAUUUAUUGGGUUUAAAGGGAGCGUAGGCGGGCCUUUAAGUCAGUGGUAAAAGCGUGUGGCUCAACCAUACCACGCCGUUGAUACUGGAGGCCUUGAGUGCACAUAAGGAUGGUGGAAUUCAUGGUGUAGCGGUGAAAUGCUUAGAUAUCAUGAAGAACUCCGAUUGCGAAGGCAGCUGUCCGGGGUGUAACUGACGCUAAUGCUCGAAAGUGCGGGGAUCGAACAGGAUUAGAUACCCUGUA
rnacentral:rRNA from 1 species